rnacentral:rRNA from 1 species
CGAACGGGUGAGUAACACGUGGGCAACCUGCCCAAAAGAAGGGGGGAGUAACACUUGGAAACAGGUGCUAAUACCGCAUAACCAUAGUUACCGCAUGGUAACUAUGUAAAAGGUGGCUAUGCUACCGCUUUUGGAUGGGCCCGCGGCGCAUUAGCUAGUUGGUGGGGUAAAGGCUUACCAAGGCAAUGAUGCGUAGCCGAACUGAGAGGUUGAUCGGCCACAUUGGGACUGAGACACGGCCCAAACUCCUACGGGAGGCAGCAG